UAUGGUUUGGCUGUGUCCCCACCCAAAUUCCAUCUUGAAUUGUAGUUCCCAUAAUCCCCACUUGUCAUGGGAGGGACUUGGUGGGAGGUAAUUGAAUCAUGGGGGUGGUUUCCUCUAUGCUGUUAUUGUAAUAGUGAGUGAGUUCUCACAAGAUCUGAUGGUUUUAUAAGAGGCGUUCCCCUUCUGCUUGGCAUUCUCUCUCCUGCCGCCCUAUAAAGAAGGGCAUGUUUGUUUCCCCUUCUGCCAUGAUUGUAAGUUUCCUGAGGCUUCUAGCCCUGCAGACCUGCACAUCAAUCAAACUUCUUUCCUUUAUAAAUUACUCAGCCUUGGGUAUUUCUUCAUAGCAUCAUGGGAACAGACUAAUACAACCUCUCACUCAUGCCUCUGCUGAGGAAAGUUUUGUCUGAUUAAUGGAUGAGGGGAACAAGUUAGUCAACCUCUGUGACUCAUUACCUGGACCAUGGAUCAUGCUUUUUUCUCUGUUCCUGCUGCACUGUGACAAGAUAAUACUGCGAUGAAUAUUUUGUGACGUAUUUCCAUAUCCACAUAUAUGACAGCUUCUCUAGGUUGUGUGUCUCAGAAGAGAAAUAAUGUAUCAUAGAUUUUGGAAGAAGCACGAAAAUGAUUUACUGAUUUAGGAACUGGGUGGAGUAGACCACAAAAAGACAAAUCAAAAACAUCUGGAAUGAACUAGUUGAGAGAGAAAAAGAGAGAGCAAGAAAAAAAGCAGGAGCCGGCAAGAGGGAGCCUCAGCCAACACUACAUCAGAGGCACAUUGUGGAUGGAGGAAAUGAGUUUAGUCAAGCCAGCUGUGACUUCAAAGGGGCUGCUCUCCCAGAGAACAGUGAGAAAGGGUUCCCCCUUCAGUGAAGACUGCAAAGUUCAGCCAGCGCCAACCCAAAGGGAAUGGACUCCAGGAAGGGGCAAAUUACAUUCAACAUACAAGAAAGAAUAUUUUCCUUCAUGAAGUGGCUGUGACAGUCUGAAGAGGAAGGAAAAUGACAAAAAAGAAAGGGCCAGUACGUGGAAAAUGCGGAAAUUGGAACUUACUAUAAGUAACUAAUUCAGAAAUCAGGCUGGCAGAAGUGUUAUACAUUCACUGGAAGAAAUUGGUGAAUAUAUGGAAAACAUAAAUGUUAUGUAUCCUGGAACUUAAAAUAAAAAUUAAUAAUAAAAAAUGUUAUCUCUCCCAAGCACUCAUUUGAUGCUUGAAUCCUCUCUAUGACAUCCUUACCAAGGAUUUGUUCUUCUUAUGCUUGGGUACUUCAACUGAUGAGAAUCUCACUAGCUCAGGAUGCAGUUUGCUUUCUUUUAGAUAGCUCUGUUAGAGCUGCCUUCUUCCAGGGCUGAACACUUCCAUAAUUUAAAUUCCAUUUAUUAGUUUUAGUCCUGCCCCUUGGGAACUCGUAGCAAAGAUACUUACAUAUUAAUGUGACAUUUUUCAGGUACUUGAGGUUAGUAAUUAUGUAGCAUAUGACAUAGAUUAAACUCAUAGACUCUGGAAACAAACUACUUGCCUUCCCUUCAAAUUCUUAUUCUGCCACUUACUUACUAUGUGACCUCCAGAGAGUUAUUUACUAUCUCUGUAACUUUAUUUCUUUAUCUAUAUAAAAAGAUAUAAUAAUAGCAGUACAUCAAAGGGCUUUUAUAAGGAGUCCAUGAAUUAAUAUAUGUAGAUGUGCCUGGAACACGGUAAGUGCUCUAAAAGUUUUCACUAUUACUAAUCAUCAUCAUUAUUAUACAGAUCUUGUCAGAUAUCGGACCUAGGCCAUCUUUCUAAGUCUUUACUCAUUCAUUAAGUGAGCUCAUUCACUCCCAUGGCUUCAAUCACCAUCUAUAUGAUUAUGAAAAAUCUAUUUUCCUCCUGAGCCAAGAGCUAAAUGUAAGUGACCAGUUAUGGAUACAGGAAUUGCUCUGGCCACCAUAAUUUGGGUGGAAAUGGUGCAUACCACUUCCAGUUCUUGCCCCUUAAAAUACCAUGAGAAAUCUUGCACUCCUUUCUCCUAGUUCAUCAGCUAACUGAAUGCAGAGAAACCAGUGGAGGACUCCAAGGAAAUUCCAAAGAGUGGUUGAACCACGGGUUGGAAGAAGUCUAGAUCCCUGAGUCAAUGUUUGGAGAGGAGCUGCCGAGGAGAGCCACCAGAGAGGGACACAUGAGCAAGAAAUAAACAUUUCUUCUGUUAAAACAUUGAGAUUUUAUAGCCCAUCAUGACUAAUCCAAUGAGACCCUAGUGUAGAUCUUUUGCUUAGUCUUCGCUUCUGAGAUCUAGAACUAUAUAUUUCAUUUGCUAAUCACCAUUUCUACAUGAACCCUCAAAUAGGGUAAUAGGUAAACUCAGAGUUUCUAAGAUUAGACUGUGUUGAAAUCUUAGUCCUUCCAGGUACAGCUAUAUGACUCAAUGUGUGUGUGGGGGCGGGGGCAGGGGGGUUAAAUAAACUAUUCAUAACUGUAUCUACUUAAAAGUAAUAAGAAAAUGAAAUGAGCAUAUACAUAUAUAUAAAACAGUUAUCGGCACAUAGUAAAUGCUCAGUAAUUGUCAGGUAAUACAGUUAUUAUGACCAUCCCACUCCAAAUUUGCUCUUUCCCCAGGUUUUUUAUGUUGAUAAAUGGUACCACCAUCCAAUAGUUGUUAAAAUUAGAAAUUUGCAACUUUAUCUUGGAUCACUUUUUUUAUCCUCCCACAUGGAUAAAGUCAAUCAAUAACUGAUUGAUUACACUCCUUCAGUAUUUUUCAAAUCCAUUUGCUUAACUCUCUCCUCUUCUAUUCUACACUUUUCAUCCUAGUUAAAGCCACCAGCCUAUGUAACUUUAUUAUAUUUGCGUCCUUACUAGUCUUUUCAAAUCCAUCCUUGCACCCUCCCAAUUCAUGCUUUAUGUGGAAAUGUAGGCAUUUUUUAAAAAAUUCAAAUCAAAUCUUGCUGCUCAAAAUUUUAAAUGCAUCAACACCGAUUGCUCUUUGGUGCCACCACAUUCCUGACCCAUUACUUCAGCACCCCCUCAAACCCACCACAGGACUUUAUUUCUACAAUUCAGCCACACUGGACUUUUGUCGGUGUCAGAAAAGUGCCAUAGAUUGUCCCAUCUUUGAUGUUAUCAUGUGUUGGUUACUUUUGCUUAGAAUAAACUUUCUCCCCAUCCCAGUUUACCUAAUUAAUUCCUGACCACUCUUUACAUUUCUGCUUAAAUGCUAUACUCUCCAGAAAGCCCUCUUAGCAAUCUCUGCCCACACUUCUUAAAGCUAUGCCUACAUAGCCCCCACCUUAUUUCUUCAUUAAACUCUUUGCACUUGCCAUUAUUUGUAUAAUUAUGUUUUCCCAGCUAACCAGGAGACUUUGUGAGGGCAGAGACCUCAUAUGUAUGGCUCACUGCCUGGUAUAGACAGUAUAUUGGCUUAUACGAAGGAGGAGUUUAUUAAAUACAGUAAAUUUUUUUAAGUGUGAAUAUGAGUCUGUUAAAUGACUGUGUGUAUAUGUACCCAAUGUAAAGUUUUAUUUGGUUCGGUCUAGAAAAAUGUCCUACAGCCAAUUCAUGUACCUAAUUAAAUUCACUUACAAAUUUAGGAAACUCAGCACCUGCCCUAUUUGAGUUUAAAACUAGUUGAUUUGAUAGACAUAUAAAAUAAAAACUAUACUAUAGUAUCAUCCAUGCUGUCAUAAUAGAAUUAUCUCAAAACCUCCAUUGAUGUACUAUUUGGG
rnacentral:lncRNA from 1 species